rnacentral:rRNA from 1 species
CAGUCGCCACGGUAAUACGAAGGGUGCAAGCGUUACUCGGAAUUACUGGGCGUAAAGCGUGCGUAGGUGGUGGUUUAAGUCCGUUGUGAAAGCCCUGGGCUCAACCUGGGAAUUGCAGUGGAUACUGGGUCACUAGAGUGUGGUAGAGGAUAGUGGAAUUUCCGGUGUAGCAGUGAAAUACGUAGAGAUCGGAAGGAACAUCUGUGGCGAAGGCGACUAUCUGGGCCAACACUGACACUGAGGCACGAAAGCGUGGGGAGCAAACAGGAUUAGAUACCCGCGUAGUCCCUGUCUCUUAUAA